rnacentral:rRNA from 1 species
UACGAAGGGGGCUAGCGUUGUUCGGAUUUACUGGGCGUAAAGCGCACGUAGGCGGAUUGUUAAGUCGGGGGUGAAAUCCUGGAGCUCAACUCCAGAAUUGCCUUCGAUACUGGCUUUCUAGAGGCUGGAAGAGGUUAGUGGAAUUCCCAGUGUAGAGGUGAAAUUCGUAGAUAUUUGGGAAGAACACCAGUGGCGAAGGCGGCUAACUGGUCCAGAUCUGACGCUGAGGUGCGAAAGCGUGGGGAGCAAACAGGG